rnacentral:rRNA from 1 species
GAAAGUAAUGAAGGGCGUACGGUGGAUGCCUAGGCUCUUACAGGCGAUGAAGGACGUGAUAAGCUGCGAAAAGCCGCGGUGAGGCGCAAAUGGCCCUUGACCCGCGGAUCUCCGAAUGGGACAACCCAAUAUCUUGAAGAGAUAUUAUCCCGCCGGUGCGGGAGGCGAACGCGGGGAACUGAAACAUCUUAGUACCCGCAGGAAAAGAAAAUAAAGAAUGAUUCCCCCAGUAGUGGCGAGCGACCGGGGAAGAGCCCAAACCGACGUUGUCUCGGCAUCGUCGGGGUUGUAGGACCGCGCCAUCGCAAGAAAGGCCGUGAGUGGAAGCGACUGGAAAGCCGCGCCAUAGAGGGUGACAGCCCCUUACACGAAGCAGCCUGAAGCGUAGCGGACUCCUGAGUAGCGCGGGACACGAGUAAUCCUGUGUGAAUCCGCCGGGCCCAUCCGGCAAGGCUAAAUACUCGUAAGAGACCGAUAGUGAACCAGUACCGUGAGGGAAAGGUGAAAAGGACCCCUUGCAGGGGAGUGAAAGAGUUCCUGAAACCGUACGCCUACAAGCGGUCGGAGCAUCUUGAAUGAUGUGACGGCGUGCCUUUUGCAUAAUGAACCUACGAGUUGCCGUCACCAGCGAGGUUAAGUGCGACGACGCACCGAGCCGCAGCGGAAGCGAGUCUUAAAAGGGCGCGAUAGUUGGUGGAGGCAGACGCGAAACCGAGUGAUCUACACUUGUCCAGGAUGAAGUCCCGGUAACACGGGAUGGAGGUCCGCACCAAUAAGCGUUGAAAAGCUUCUGGAUGAGGUGAGUGUAGGAGUGAAAGGCCAAUCAAACUCGGAGAUAGCUCGUACUCCCCGAAAGGCAUUUAGGUGCCGCCUGUGGCGUUCCCGACGUGAGGUAGAGCGACUGAUAGGAUGCGAGGGCUUCACCGCCUAUCAAGUCCUGACAAACUCCGAAUGCACGUCGGCCAAGCCAUGGAGUAAGGGCAUGGGUGCUAAGGUCCGUGCCCGAGAGGAGAAGAAUCCAGACCACCGGCUAAGGUCCCGAAAUACUGGUUAAGUUAGACUAACGCAGUCCGGCCCCCAAGACAGCUAGGAUGUUGGCUUGGAAGCAGCCAUUCAUUCAAAGAGUGCGUAACAGCUCACUAGUCGAGGAGCUGGGCGUGGAUAAUAAUCGGGUAUAAAACCAGUUACCGAAGCCGUGGGAUGCUCAAGCAUCGGUAGGGGAGCAUUGCAUGCGGCUUGGAAGGCGGGGCGCGAGCCCCUCUGGAGCGCAUGGAAACGCAAAUGUAGGUAUAAGUAACGACAAGGGGGGUGGGAUGCCCCCCCGCCGAAAGACCAAGGUUUCCUGAACAACGCUAAUCGGUUCAGGGUCAGUCGGGUCCUAAGCAUAAGCCGUAUGGCGAGGGCGAUGGAUGAAACGGUUAAUAUUCCGUUACUGUCUUGGUGUGUGACGCGGCGACGGAGUAGUGACACGGCCGCCUCCUGACGGAAAAGGGGGUUGAAGCGCAAAGGUGUCGAGGAAGGCAGGCAAAUCCACCUUCCGAGCCGAAGCGCGAUAGUACGCCGGGCCCUUUGGGGCAAGGCGAUAGUGCCGGUAAUCAGACUUCCAAGAAAACCCGCUAAACUUCAGCACCAAGUCACCCGUACUCCAAACGGACACACGUGGUCGGGUAGAAUAUACUAAGGCGCUUGGGAGAUUCACGGUUAAGGAACUAGGCAAAUUGACCCCGUACCUUCGGAAUAAGGGGUCCUCGCUUUUGCGAGGCGCAGAGAAUAGGUCCAGGCAACUGUUUAACAAAAACACAGGGCUGUGCCAAUUUGAAAGAAGAAGUAUACAGCCUGACACCUGCCCGGUGCCGGAAGGUUAAGAGGAGAGCUCAUCAGCGAUGAGAAGGCUUGAAUUGAAGCCCCGGUAAACGGCGGCCGUAACUAUAACGGUCCUAAGGUAGCGAAAUUCCUUGUCGGGUAAGUUCCG